GGCUAGUUAGCUCAGUCAGUUGAGCAUGGCCCUAACAAUGCCAAGGACACGGGUUCUAUUCCCGUUUGGUCC
rnacentral:tRNA from 1 species